rnacentral:rRNA from 1 species
UACGUAGGGGGCAAGCGUUGUCCGGAUUCAUUGGGCGUAAAGAGCGUGUAGGCGGCUUGGUAAGUCCGCUGUGAAAGUCCAGGGCUCAACCCUGGAAAGCCGGUGGAAACUGUCAAGCUUGAGUCCGGAAGAGGCGAGUGGAAUUCCUGGUGUAGCGGUGAAAUGCGCAGAUAUCAGGAGGAACACCAAUGGCGAAGGCAGCUCGCUGGGACGGUACUGACGCUGAGACGCGAAAGCGUGGGGAGCAAACAGG